rnacentral:rRNA from 1 species
UACGUAGGGGGCAAGCGUUGUCCGGAAUCAUUGGGCGUAAAGAGCGUGUAGGCGGCCUGGUAAGUCCGCUGUGAAAGUCCAGGGCUCAACCCUGGAAUGCCGGUGGAAACUGUCAGGCUCGAGUCCGGAAGAGGCGAGUGGAAUUCCUGGUGUAGCGGUGAAAUGCGCAGAUAUCAGGAGGAACACCAAUGGCGAAGGCAGCUCGCUGGGACGGUACUGACGCUGAGACGCGAAAGCGUGGGGAGCAAAAGGG